UUAGAGGAAGUAAAAGUCGUAACAAGGUCUCCGUUGGUGAACCAGCGGAGGGAUCAUUACUGAGUUACCGCUCUAUAACCCUUUGUGAACAUACCUACAAGUUGCUUCGGCGGUCGGCCCCCCGGGCCCCCGGCCCCGCUAACGCGGGGCGUCCGCCGGAGGAUAACCAAACUCUGAUUUAACGACGUUUCUUCUGAGUGGCACAAGCAAAUAAUCAAAACUUUUAACAACGGAUCUCUUGGUUCUGGCAUCGAUGAAGAACGCAGCGAAAUGCGAUAAGUAAUGUGAAUUGCAGAAUUCAGUGAAUCAUCGAAUCUUUGAACGCACAUUGCGCCCGCCAGCAUUCUGGCGGGCAUGCCUGUUCGAGCGUCAUUUCAACCCUCAAGCGCUGCUUGGCGUUGGGGCUCUACGGUUGACGUAGGCCCCCAAAACUAGUGGCGGACCCUCUCGGAGCCUCCUUUGCGUAGUAACUUUUGUCUCGCACUGGGAUUCGGAGGGACUCUAGCCGUUAAACCCCCAAUUUUCCAAAGGUUGACCUCGGAUCAGGUAGGAAUACCCGCUGAACUUAAGCAUA
rnacentral:rRNA from 1 species